UAUUUCUUUGGUGGAAUGUUCUUUACUUUUCUAGAUUUGCCUUUAUUCUUCAUAGUUCCAUGAGUAACUACAAGGGAAAAAUUAUGUCCAUCUUGCUUUAAUCUCAUUUCCUCUUGAAUACACUUGCUAGUAAGCUCAUUCAUAUUUCGCUGUUCAUUAUUAGUGUUAUACUGAAUUUUGAAUAGAGCAAACUGCGAAUGAAGUGAGUUAGGACAAAUGGAACUAAGAAUGACUUAUCUAUCUUCAUGUCCAAUGCCUUAAGUUUUGCAGUCUUUU
rnacentral:lncRNA from 1 species